rnacentral:misc_RNA from 1 species
GAUGAAGAACGUAGCGAAAUGCGAUAAGUAAUGUGAAUUGCAGAAUUCAGUGAAUCAUCGAAUCUUUGAACGCACCUUGCGCUUCUUGGUAUUCCGAGAAGCAUGUCUGUUUGAGUGUCAUUAAAUUCUCAAAUCUUGCCGGCUUUCGUCAGCUGGUUCGACUUGGAUUGUGGAUGCUGCUGGCUUUUUUUGAAAGUCUGCUCUUCUCAAAUACAUUAGCAGAAGUCUUGACUGGCUCGUCUCUGGUAUGAUAACUAUCUAUACCAUUGAUAUCAGUUCUUCAUUGUGAAGUGACUUGCGCUUCUAAAUAGUCUAUCAAGACAAUUUAUGACAAUUUGACCUCAAAUCAGAUAGGACUACCCGCUGAACUUAAGCAUAUCAAUAAGCGGAGGA